ensembl:lncRNA
CUUAAAAGCAAUAAUACAACAGAAGAAGCACAGUUUGAUUACAUACAUAAGCAGACACACACACACACAAGCACAAACAAAACCUCACACACAGUAAACACACAGUUGUUCAUUCGAAUCCAGAAAUCCAACUGACAUUUAAAUGUGAUGCAAACAUUACAAAGGCUGUCGCGUGCAUAGGCACUCAGCGUUCCAAACAGCUCCUUCUCCUCCUCACCGCAGGGCUGCCUUUGGCCACACGCACGGACCAGCACCUCGCUAGGCUCUCGGCUUUGGUCUCAUGUAGGCCAGCAGUCUGACGGCCACAAACAGCCAGCCUGUGGAAGUGGAAUAGGUUCCCGAAACAUCAGUACUGCAAGCAUGAACCCACAGCCAAGGCCUCUAGGGCACGACACAGUACCAUGUCGGCCAACACACACACACACACACACACACACACAUAAGCAGGUUGAAACCAGGAACUGUUAAGGGCGGUGAGGUGGAGACAGACAUCUCAGGGCGUAUGUAAGGACCAAACCCUAGUGGCCCGAGCGCGGUGGGACGCGCUACAAACAGGCAAUAUUUUUAUGUGUGUGUGCUUUUGACUGGGUUCGUUUUAUUAGCGAACCCCUAGCUCUGUGUACUGUACCCCCCCCCACCCCCCCCACCCCCCCACACACACACACACACUGUCACACCAACCCCAACCAAAACGUGCCGUCUCUGAGGUUACGUCUUCACAACACGCUUCGGCUCGGAUCGCCCGUCUCAGACCAACUCAUCCCGGAGCGUCCUCACUGUUGGCAGCCAAGCCGCCGACUGCCUUUUCAUCCAAACGCCGUUUUGAAUCACUGUGUCUUUGUAAUGUAUUAUCUACCCAUCUCUCUCUCUCCUGGAAUUGCUUUCUUUAAAGAAGUGACAGGGUUAUUGUGUUCUAAUGUUUAAUUUCUUCUCAAUUGUCUCAGUUGCCAAAAUGUGUCAGUCAGUGUAUCAGCAGCUGGCCUUAAUGCUGCUGGCUGGCUGUGUGUCCAGCACCGAGGUUAUGAAGCAGGAUGUGGCCCGGCAGUAGAGAAGGUUGCCUGUUCUGCAGUACUUCCUGAAUGUGGGCCUCCUGACCCCGACUCAAGUGUGAACACUUUAACACACCUCCCCUGUCACUGGGAGAAUGUUCUUUGCACUGUGCUGUGACGUCACGUGACCGAAGCGGGCAAGGUUUGGUGACCUCACCGAUGACCUCAUCGCCACCUGUCCCCUCUGCCCGGCCCGCCAGGCCUUGACGAUGCCAAUGCGACGUUGAGGUGGAGUUACGCAGCAUUGCAACAACGUUGCCCCCGACGGCGUUGUUGUUUCCUGUAAACCACGGCCGUGGUCUUGUCCAGUCUUCUGUUCAUACAAAGAUAAAGCCAUGUUAACAGUAAGAUGCACAAUAAAUGACUUUUGUGAGAUUAAC